UACGUUCCCUGCCUCCAACAUCAAAACGCAGCCUCCUCCUCCUGUGCUGAAGCUUUGAAUUAGGGUUUAGGGUUUUCUCUCUCUCUCUCUCUCUCUCUCAGUUUUUCCCAAAUCCAAAAAUUGAAAUGGCUUCAGUGAAGAGAAAAUCCAUUGAAAGCCAACAAGAGGACCAUCCUCUUCCUCCUCCUCAGAAACAACUCAGAGAAGAUAACAGCAACAACAAUAGUCGCAGUUCGAAGAUUAUUGGGCAUGGCGAAGCAGUUGCGUGUCUGCACGACGUGUCGUAUCCAGGGAAUUAUGUCCCUCCUUUUUCUUCAAUCACUCAAACUCAAAAGGACUCAAAACCCGCAAAGGAAUUUCCUUUCACUCUCGACCCUUUUCAGUCUGAAGCCAUCAGUUGCCUUGACAGUGGCCAAUCUGUGAUGGUCUCAGCUCAUACAUCAGCUGGGAAAACAGUAGUAGCAUUAUAUGCAAUAGCUAUGUCUUUGAAGAAUCAACAAAGGGUUGUUUACACGUCACCCAUCAAAGCACUUAGCAAUCAGAAGUUUAGGGAGUUCAAGGAGGAGUUUUCUGAUGUUGGUCUCAUGACCGGUGAUGUUACCAUUGACCCUAAUGCUUCUUGCCUGGUGAUGACAACGGAAAUUUGGCGAAGUAUGCAGUAUAAAGGGUCGGAAACUACUAGGGAAGUAGCUUGGAUUAUCUUUGAUGAGGUUCAUUAUAUGCGUGAUCGAGAAAGAGGUGUGGUUUGGGAGGAAAGCAUUCUCAUGGCUCCCAAGAAUGCUAGAUUUGUCUUCCUUUCUGCCACUGUUCCUAAUGCCAAAGAAUUUGCUGAUUGGGUUGCAAAGGUCCACCAACAACCAUGUCACAUUGUUUAUACUGAUUAUCGACCAACACCCCUCCAACACUAUAUUUUUCCCUCUGGAGGUGAGGGUUUGUACCUGGUGGUGGAUGAAAAGGCAAAAUUUCGGGAGGACAGCUUUCAGAAAGCAGUGAAUGCAUUAGUUCCUAAGGUUGAAGGUGAAAAGAAAAGGGAGAACGGGAAGUGGCAGAAAGGCUUAAAUGUGAGCAGACUUGGUGAAGAAAGUGACAUAUUUAAAAUGGUAAAAAUGAUCAUUCGCCGCCAGUAUGAUCCUGUCAUUCUUUUCUCAUUUAGCAAAAGAGAAUGUGAAUUUCUUGCCAUGCAGAUGGCAAAAAUGGAUCUAAAUCAGGAUGAUGAGAAAGCUAAUAUAGAAACCAUCUUUUGGAGUGCCAUGGACAUGCUAUCAGAUGAUGACAAGAAGCUACCUCAGGUUUCAAAUAUGUUACCCCUCUUAAAACGAGGUAUUGGUGUGCAUCAUUCUGGCUUGCUUCCCAUCCUGAAGGAAGUGAUUGAGAUUUUGUUUCAAGAAGGGCUGAUCAAGUGUUUGUUUGCUACAGAGACAUUCAGCAUAGGUUUGAACAUGCCUGCCAAAACUGUGGUAUUUACAAAUGUCCGUAAAUUUGAUGGGGACAAAUUCAGGUGGCUAUCUAGUGGAGAAUAUAUACAAAUGAGUGGCCGGGCUGGCCGUCGAGGAAUUGAUGAUCGUGGGGUAUGCAUCCUUAUGGUGGAUGAGAAGCUUGAGCCUUCAACUGCCAAGAUGAUGCUUAAAGGAAGUGCUGAUAGUUUGAACAGUGCCUUCCAUCUAAGCUACAACAUGCUUUUAAAUCAAAUGCGCUGUGAAGAUGGCGAUCUUGAAAAUUUGCUCCGCAAUUCUUUCUUUCAGUUUCAAGCAGACAGGGCCCUUCCUGAUCUUGAGAAACAAGCAAAAGUCCUUGAAGAAGAGAGGAAUUCAAUGGUAAUUGAAGAGGAAGAAAAUCUGAAGAAUUAUUAUGAUCUGAUACAGCAGUACAAAAGUUUGAAGAAGGAUGUUCGUGAUAUUGUGUAUUCUCCAAAGCACUGCCUGUCCUAUCUGCAGUCUGGCAGACUAGUGUGUAUCCAGUGCACAGAAAGUGAUGACAAGUCCCCUUCUUUCUUGAUUGAAGACCUAGUCACAUGGGGAGUGAUAGUCAAUUUUGAUCGAGUGAAAGGUGUUUCAGAUGUUGAUGUAGAUGAUGCAAUUAGAAAACCAGAAAAUGCAAAUUACACCGUGGAUGUUCUUACAAGAUGUGUUGUGACCAAAGAUGGAGUUGCCAAGAAAAAAAUCAAGGUUGUCCCAUUGACAGAGCAUGGAGAACCUCUCAUUGUUUCUAUUCCUAUUGAUCAGAUAAAUAUUUUGAGCAGUGCUCGCUUGUAUAUGUCAAAGGAUCUUUUGCCAUUAGAAGUUCGAGAGAACACCCUGAAGCAGGUUUCAGAAUUUCUUUCUAGAAAACCUAGUGGGUUGCCGAUGGAUCCUGAAGGAGACAUGAAUAUUCAAAGCAGCUCAUACAAAAAGGCAGUUCGUCGGAUAGAGGCUUUAGAGCACCUGUUUGAAAAACAUGAAAUUGCAAAAUCUCCACUUAUCAAGGAAAAGCUCAAAGUCUUACACACAAAGCAAGAAUUAACAGCCAGGAUCAAGUUAAUCAGGAAAUCAAUGCGCUCUUCCACAGCAUUGGCGUUUAAAGAUGAACUUAAAGCUAGAAAACGAGUUCUUCGGAGGCUUGGGUAUAUCACGAGUGAUGACGUUGUGGAGUUGAAGGGGAAAGUCGCUUGUGAAAUUAGUAGUGCAGAUGAGCUGACUUUGACAGAGCUCAUGUUCAAUGGGGUUCUCAAGGACAUAAAAGUGGAGGAAAUGGUCUCUCUUCUCUCAUGCUUUGUGUGGCAGGAAAAACUCCAAGAUGCUGCAAAACCAAGGGAAGAACUUGACUUGCUUUUUACACAAUUACAAGAUACAGCUCGAAGGGUUGCCAAAAUUCAGCUUGAAUGCAAGGUACAAAUUGAUGUGGAGAAUUUUGUGAGUUCAUUUCGGCCUGAUAUCAUGGAGGCUGUGUAUGCCUGGGCAAAAGGAUCCAAGUUCUAUGAGAUCAUGGAAAUUACUAAGGUUUUUGAGGGCAGCUUGAUCAGGGCAAUUAGGAGACUAGAGGAAGUUCUUCAACAGCUUAUAGAAGCUGCAAAGUCUAUUGGUGAGACAGAGCUAGAGGCCAAAUUUGAAGAGGCUGUUUCUAAAAUCAAGAGAGACAUUGUUUUUGCAGCAUCACUAUACUUGUAGUGGAAGAUUUUGGCUUCACUGUGAGUGGGAUAAACUGAGGGAAAAACUGGAAGGAUCAAUUUUUCCUAGGGAGUCAAAAUUUCUUUAUGAUGCACCCAGACAGGAGGGAAACUUUAUUGUUAUGAAAGCAAACCAAUCUCCAAUAGAUGCACGUGGGAAAGCUGCGUUGAAGAGGGGAAUAAAGAUGGCUGAAGAAUUCAACUGUGCAGUCUCAUGUUUCCAAUGCGCAUGCUUCUCGAAGGUUUCAUGCUCCUACUGAUCUUGCGCAUCAGAAUUGUGAUGACAAGAGUGCCAUUUGGAGAAAGGAAAGAUGAAAUGAAACAACGAAGUUGUAAGGUAGCUUUCAUAUCCUGAACCAGGAAUCUUGAGCCUUUGUUGGCAAAUCUUCAACCCUUUUUGUUAUUUAUAUCAUGGAGCACAGUAGGUGUACUAUAUAGGUAGUCAAUCGGCAGUUUUGUUUUUAACCUGCACUUCUCAAUUUUGCUAUGAACUCAUGGUUCAUGGAAUAGAAUUGACUGCCUACUAAGACAUUAGUUAGGGGGUCGUUGAUUAAAAUAUGAAUGCAUCAGUUAUGAUUAAGCUUGAUACCA